rnacentral:rRNA from 1 species
AUUGAACGCUGGCGGCAUGCCUUACACAUGCAAGUCGAACGGCAGCGCGGGGCAACCUGGUGGCGAGUGGCGAACGGGUGAGUAAUGCAUCGGAACGUACCUUUCAGUGGGGGAUAACGUAGCGAAAGUUACGCUAAUACCGCAUAUUCUGUGAGCAGGAAAGCAGGGGAUCGCAAGACCUUGCGCUGAUUGAGCGGCCGAUGUCAGAUUAGCUAGUUGGUGAGGUAAAGGCUCACCAAGGCGACGAUCUGUAGCGGGUCUGAGAGGAUGAUCCGCCACACUGGAACUGAGACACGGUCCAGACUCCUACGGUAGGCAGCAGUGGGGAAUUUUGGACAAUGGGGGCAACCCUGAUCCAGCCAUGCCGCGUGAGUGAAGAAGGCCUUCGGGUUGUAAAGCUCUUUCGGCCGGGAAGAAAUCGCACGGGCUAAUACCCUGUGUGGAUGACGGUACCGGAAUAAGAAGCACCGGCUAACUACGUGCCAGCCGCCGCCGUAAAAC